rnacentral:rRNA from 1 species
UUAUCGAGGGUGUGACGGAGAAGGAUAGUGUGUGCUAGCGAUUGGAAAUGCUAGUCUAAGCGUUUAGGGAGUUACAGUAGGCAAAUCCGCUGUAACAAUUCUGAGGCGUGAUGGGGAAGGUCAUUAAGACCGAAGUACAUGAUUCCAUGCUUCCAAGAAAAGCAUCUAGAGAGAGAAGUAGUGCCCGUACCGCAAACCGACACAGGUAGAUGAGGAGAGAAUCCUAAGGCCGGCGGAAGAAUUGCAGUUAAGGAACUAGGCAAAUUGACCCCGUAAGUUCGCGAGAAGGGGUGCCUGUGAGAGCAGGCCGCAGAGAAUAGGCCCAAGCAACUGUUUAGCAAAAACACAGGUCUCUGCUAAAGCGUAAGCUGAUGUAUAGGGGCUGACGCCUGCCCGGUGCUGGAGGGUUAAGGGGAUCACUUAGCGCAAGCGAAGGUGUGAACUUAAGCCCCAGUAAACGGCGGCCGUAACGAUAACGGUCCUAAGGUAGCGAAAUUCCUUGUCAGGUAAGUUCUGACCCGCACGAAUGGCGUAAUGACUUGGGCACUGUCUCAACUGCGAAUCCGGCGAAGUUGUAGUGCGAGUGAAGAUGCUCGCUACCCGCGAUUGGACGGAAAGACCCUGUAGAGCUUUACUGUAGCUUAGCAUUGAAUUCCGGUAUUGUCUGUACAGGAUAGGUGGGAGACUGGGAAACUAGGGCGUCAGCCUUAGUGGAGUCAACCUUGGGAUACCACCCUGACAGUACUGGGGUUCUAACAGGACGCCAUGAAACUGGUGACUGGACAUUGUUAGGUGGGCAGUUUGACUGGGGCGGUCGCCUCCUAAAAAGUAACGGAGGCGCCCAAAGGUUCCCUCAGAACGGUCGGAAAUCGUUCGUAGAGUGCAAAGGCAGAAGGGAGCCUGACUGCGAGACCCACAAGUCGAGCAGGGACGAAAGUCGGGCUUAGUGAUCCGGUGGUACCUCGUGGGAGGGCCAUCGCUCAACGGAUAAAAGCUACCUCGGGGAUAACAGGCUGAUCUCCCCCAAGAGUCCACAUCGACGGGGAGGUUUGGCACCUCGAUGUCGGCUCGUCGCAUCCUGGGGCUGUAGUAGGUCCCAAGGGUUGGGCUGUUCGCCCAUUAAAGCGGCACGCGAGCUGGGUUCAGAACGUCGUGAGACAGUUCGGUCCCUAUCCGUCGCGGGCGUAGGAAAUUUGAGAGGAGCUGUCCUUAGUACGAGAGGACCGGGAUGGACUGACCUCUGGUGCACCAGUUGUUCUGCCAAGAGCAUAGCUGGGUAGCUAAGUCGGGAAGGGAUAAACGCUGAAAGCAUCUAAGCGUGAAGCCCCCCUCAAGAUGAGAUUUCCCAUAGCAUAAGCUAGUAAGACCCCUUGAAGAACACAAGGUUGAUAGGUCAGAGGUGGAAGUGCGGUAACGUAUGUAGCUGACUGAUACUAAUAGGUCGAGGGCUUGAGC